rnacentral:rRNA from 1 species
CUUGUCUUUUAAAUGGAGACUCGUAUGAACGGCGUAACCUUCUUCAACUGUCUCCCCUCCCACCCCUCUAAAUUCUUUUCUGAGUGAAGAAACCCAGAUAAGCCAGAAAGACGAGAAGACCCUGUCGAGCUUUAACCAUUAGGUGAACUUAAACCCCUUUUAGACAUCACCCAAAGGUUUUGGUUGGGGCAACCAUGGAGAAAAUAAACCCUCCAGAGCAAAUAGAAGAAAAUAAUUCACUAUUACUCCUAACUGAGAACCAGGAACUGGUAUCCAGAAAAAGUUACCGCAGGGAUAACAGCGUAAUCCCCUCUAAGAGUCC